rnacentral:precursor_RNA from 1 species
GAGGACCGUAUUCAUGGAAGAGGAUUGAACAGACUACUGAGUUCUUAAGAGAAAAAUGGCACUUAAGAAAUUGAUGGUGAUAUCAAAGGAAGGUUACUUAUUACUCUUGGACUUUGAUGAUGAGGACGAUGACAUAAAAGUUUCAGAGGAGGCUCUUGCGGAAGUAAAGAGCCCAGGAUUUGAUAAAAAUGAGAAUAUAUCGCCUCAAGCAGAAGCAGAUGAAUAUAUGGGAGAUGAAGUAGACAGUAUGUUGGAUAAAUCUGGAGUAAAGAACCCAGCAAUUGGUAAAGAUGAGAAUAUAUCGCCUCAAGUAAAAGGAGAUGAAGACAUGGGAGAUGAAAUUGACAGUAUGUUGGCUACAUCUGGAGAUGUGUGCAGCUGAACAGAGCGUUGAGGAAACGUCAGUGAUUUUAUAACUACUUAUCAUGUUGGGAGAUUGUUGUGAUGAUUGCCUGGACUCUCAGAUGUUACACAGGCUGCAUCAUUGGACUGAAAGUGAAUGGCCCAUGUGUUGCCACUGAUGUGAGCCAUUUGCCUGUUGUGCUUCAA